rnacentral:tRNA from 1 species
GUCCUCGUGGUGUAGCGGUAGCACACUCGGCCCGUAUUCGAGAGGUCCAGGUUCGAGUUCCGGCGAGGGCA